rnacentral:rRNA from 1 species
GGCGUAGGCGCAGCGAAAGCGAGUCUGAAUAGGGGCGCAUGAGUUCGUUGGAUUAGACCCGAAACCAAGUGAUCUAUCCAUGAGCAGAAUGAAGGUGCAGUAACAUGCACUGGAGGUUCGAACCCGUAACUGUUGAAAAAGUUUGGGAUGACUUGUGGAUAGGGGUGAAAGGCCAAUCAAACUUGGUGAUAGCUGGUUCUCCGCGAAAUCUAUUUAGGUAGAGCCUCGAGUGAUUACUCCGGGGGGUAGAGCACUGGAUGGGGCUAGGGGGAUUCACCGUCUUACCAAACCCAACCAAACUCCGAAUACCCGGAAGUUCAGCUCGGGAGACACACUGUGGGUGCUAACGUCCAUGGUGAAAAGGGAAACAACCCUAACCUACAGCUAAGGCCCCCAAAUCAUGGCUAAGUGGGAAAGGAUGUGGGAGCGCAUAGACAACCAGGAAGUUGGCUUAGAAGCAGCCAUCUUUUAAAGAAAGCGUAAUAGCUCACUGGUCAAGCGCGCCUGCGCCGAAAAU